rnacentral:rRNA from 1 species
GAUGAACGCUGGCGGCGUGCCUAAUACAUGCAAGUCGAGCGAACGGACGAGAAGCUUGCUUCUCUGAUGUUAGCGGCGGACGGGUGAGUAACACGUGGAUAACCUACCUAUAAGACUGGGAUAACUUCGGGAAACCGGAGCUAAUACCGGAUAAUAUUUUGAACCGCAUGGUUCAAAAGUGAAAGACGGUCUUGCUGUCACUUAUAGAUGGAUCCGCGCUGCAUUAGCUAGUUGGUAGGGUAACGGCUUACCAAGGCAACGAUGCAUAGCCGACCUGAGAGGGUGAUCGGCCACACUGGAACUGAGACACGGUCCAGACUCCUACGGGAGGCAGCAGUAGGGAAUCUUCCGCAAUGGGCGAAAGCCUGACGGAGCAACGCCGCGUGAGUGAUGAAGGCCUUCGGAUCGUAAAACUCUGUUAUUAGGGAAGAACAUAUGUGUAAGUAACUGUGCACAUCUUGACGGUACCUAAUCAGAAAGCCACGGCUAACUACGUG